rnacentral:rRNA from 1 species
UACGAAGGGGGCUAGCGUUGCUCGGAAUGACUGGGCGUAAAGGGCGCGUAGGCGGAUGGCACAGUCAGAUGUGAAAUUCCUGGGCUUAACCUGGGGGCUGCAUUUGAUACGUGUGAUCUAGAGUGAGGAAGAGGGUUGUGGAAUUCCCAGUGUAGAGGUGAAAUUCGUAGAUAUUGGGAAGAACACCGGUGGCGAAGGCGGCGACCUGGACGGUAACUGACGCUGAGACGCGGAAGCGUGGGUAGCAAACAGG